rnacentral:rRNA from 1 species
ACCACCAAAAUUAACCCAAUAAUAUAGAUAAUUUAGCAUUAAAUAAAUAAAAAAACUAAAUCAUUUUUCCACCUUAGUACGGGAGACGGAAAAGGUAAUUUAAGCAAUAGAGAAAGUACCGCAGGGGAAAGCUGAAAGAGUAAUGAAAUAAUUCAUUUAAGCACGAAAAAGCAGAGCUUAACCCUUGUACCUUUUGCAUCAUGAUUUAGCCAGCACUACUCAAGCAAAGUGACCUUUAGUUUGAAACCCCGAAACCAAGUGAGCUACCCCGGGACAGCCUUAAAGGGCGAACCCGUCUCUGUGGCAAAAGAGUGGGAAGAGCCCCGGGUAGAGGUGAUAAACCUACCGAACUUGGUGAUAGCUGGUUGCCUGAGAAAUGAAUAGAAGUUCAGCCUCGUACCCCUUUAGCCAACCAAGAAAUGUCUAAAUAAGCACAAAAGAGAAAUACGAGAGUUAGUUAAAGGGGGUACAGCCCCUUUAAUAAAGGACACAACCUUAAAUAGGAGGAUAAGAGUCACAUUUUAUAAAACUAGUUGUUCCAGUGGGCCUAAAAGCAGCCAUCUGAGUAGAAAGCGUUAAAGCUCAAACAACAUUCAGUUUAUUAUACUGAUAAAUAGCCCAACUCCCCUAAGGAUAUCAGGCCAUUCCAUGCCACCAUGGAAGAGACCAUGCUAAAAUGAGUAAUAAGAGGAUAUGAUCCUCUCCCAGCACAAGUGUAAGCCAGAUCGGACAAACCACUGGAAAUUAACGAGCCCAGUAAAAGAGGGCAAUGUGGCCAACAAGAAAAUCAAGAAAAUACCACAAUCUUUAUAUCGUUAAACCCACACUGGAGUGCCUCCAAGGAAAGACUAAAAGAGAAGGAAGGAACUCGGCAAACACAAGCCUCGCCUGUUUACCAAAAACAUCGCCUCCUGCAAACCCCAACGUAUAGGAGGUCCAGCCUGCCCGGUGACUACAAGUUUAACGGCCGCGGUAUUUUGACCGUGCAAAGGUAGCGCAAUCACUUGUCUUUUAAAUGAAGACCUGUAUGAAUGGCUAAACGAGGGCUUAGCUGUCUCCCUUUUCAAGUCAGUGAAAUUGAUCUACCCGUGCAG